rnacentral:rRNA from 1 species
GGAGAAGUCGUUAGCGAAGUCACAAGGCCCUCUACUUUUCAUUAUAAAACCGAUAAACCAGAAAAAGGAUUGUUUUGCGAUAGUAUCUUUGGACCCAUAAAAAGCGGGAUUUGCGCUUGUGGGUCUCGAGCGAGCGGAGCUGAAAACAAAGACGAAAGAUUUUGCCAAAAAUGCGGGGUCGAAUUUGUGGAUUCUCGGAUACGAAGAUAUCAAAUGGGAUACAUCAAACUCGCAUGUCCCGUGACUCAUGUGUGGUAUUUGAAAGGUCUUUCUAGUUAUAUCGCGAAUGUUUUAGAUAAACCUCUUAAGACACUACUAGGGAAAACCUUAUACACAGAAUGUUACCAGUAG